rnacentral:lncRNA from 1 species
AGAUCUUCCGAGCAGAUGUGCCCACACUCUGAGACCUCUCACAUGUCGCAGCUGACACUUUUGGAAAUCUAAUGCAUGCUUUCUAAGGUUUUCCUGGUUCAUCUUACAGUUGUUUGCUGUACCAGAGGUACUGCCUAAGGUUUCUGUCAACAUUAUUUAGGCACGAACGCUUACCUGCCUCAAGCAAGAAUCUAUAUAAGUAUAUUUAGAAGUUUUGGAAUUCGGUAUUGCUCUCCUUAAAAUUCAGAGUACACGAUGUCACUCAGAAAUAUCUGUUGCUUGUAGUGGUGUGGCUCGUUGCUUUCCACCACUUGAGACAGAGAUGAAAGCUCAGAUGUACGGUCCCAGCACUUCUUCACAAUGAUGCAUUUUCCUCUGGACAGCAUGUAUUUUUCUGCAGAAAGGACCGCAGACACGUUUUAUUCGGUUUGCUUCAAACUCUCGUCAUUGGAGUCUUUGCCCUCAUGUAAUCAAUCCUCCCACGCAAAGGCCAGAAUGAGCCGCUGUGAUCCCAAGGCAGGGAGAGUUUGACAAAACUACAAUUUGUAGAGGGAAAGCACACCAUGACCCCAGCCAGUUAAAGGUCAUCAGACACCUGUGACACAGAAUCGUCCUGCAGUGGUUUCAUGCUAACAAAAAAUGAAUUACCAUUGUCACAUUUUAUCAAAUAAGCAAAAAUCAAGGAACAGAGUUGCAAGUUAAAAGCCGGACAGACUUUUAGACUGCAGAGCUUCCUGAAGAAAGAUCUGAUAAAGUGUGUAGGACUGAGAGGCACCCAGAUGUGGUGGCUGAAAUGUAUAUUUCUUUGCCUUGUUCAGAAUAAGUCGUUCCUUUGAUCUCCUUACAAAGUACACGUGAUUUUAAUAUCAUCUUAGCUGAUUCCAAGAACUCUCAACACCAUUUGGCCCGAUGUUAAAUACAAUACAGCUCCUGUAUGUGGUCUCAUUUGCUAAAAUGUAUCGGUUUGUUUUGAUUGAUGAGCUAUGCACGAGUCUUUAUUUAUUGAACUCAUCUAUCAAAUACAAUUCUAAAUGCCUCCAAGCCUCUGGGAAGCUGACUGAAUGCUAUUUGGAAUUGGUUCCCUAAUAACAAAAUAGUCAGAUGUGAAUGAUCAUUUAUCACAUGGCUGUGCCUUCCCGUAUAGAUCUGCAUGCAUAGAAAUCACAAAAGCCUCCUGUUUGAUAUGUCUCAAAUAUCUCCUUUAAUAAGAUUCCUUUUACUUGUGAGCUGGACAUCAUGAUCUCAUGUUUAUUUCUGUGCAGCUAGGGAAUAAAUAUUGGGAGUUAAUCACAAGUAAACAAUCAAUAAACCAAAUCAAAUUUAACCCACAGGGAGUCAGUAUGACAGAAUCACAAAGCAAAAUAUUAAACUACCUUUAUAAAAGAAAUGCCUUCUUUUUCCAUUCCAAAUAUCCUUCUCAUUAAUUAAAUAUCUAACAUGUUAUUAUUUGCUUGGUUACUUGGCAUAUCUUGUCAGUGCUUAAAUUGCCAAUGAACUACAAAUUCUCUUUGUAUACCAUAGAAAUCAUGGAGCAGUCUUGGGAGCUGUCAGCUACUUAUAAUUAACUCUAGUGACUCCUCUGAUAAAUGGUCAUUGACAUACUAAAAAAUUACAGAGGUCCUUAGCCAGAUUUUACAUUCUCUGAAUGUUAAAGGCAGUUAGGAUUUUUUAUCCAAUUAUUUUU